rnacentral:rRNA from 1 species
CCUACGGGAGGCAGCAGUGAGGAAUAUUGGUCAAUGGGCGUAAGCCUGAACCAGCCAAGUCGCGUGAGGGAUGAAGGUUCUAUGGAUCGUAAACCUCUUUUAUAAGGGAAUAAAGUGUGGGACGUGUCCUAUUUUGUAUGUACCUUAUGAAUAAGGAUCGGCUAACUCCGUGCCAGCAGCCGCGGUAAUACGGAGGAUCCGAGCGUUAUCCGGAUUUAUUGGGUUUAAAGGGUGCGUAGGCGGCCUUGUAAGUCAGCGGUGAAAGUCUGUGGCUCAACCAGAGAAUUGCCGUUGAAACUGGGGGGCUUGAGUAUGUUUGAGGUAGGCGGAAUGUGUGGUGUAGCGGUGAAAUGCUUAGAUAUCACGCAGAACCCCGAUUGCGAAGGCAGCCUGCCAAGCCAUGACUGACGCUGAGGCACGAAAGCGUGGGGAUCAAACAGGAUUAGAUACCCUGGUAGUC